GAUGAACGCUGGCGGCGUACCUAAUACAUGCAAGUCGAGCGAACAGACGAGGAGCUUGCUCCUCUGACGUUAGCGGCGGACGGGUGAGUAACACGUGGAUAACCUACCUAUAAGACUGGGAUAACUUCGGGAAACCGGAGCUAAUACCGGAUAAUAUAUUGAACCGCAUGGUUCAAUAGUGAAAGACGGUUUUGCUGUCACUUAUAGAUGGAUCCGCGCCGCAUUAGCUAGUUGGUAAGGUAACGGCUUACCAAGGCGACGAUGCGUAGCCGACCUGAGAGGGUGAUCGGCCACACUGGAACUGACACACGGUCCAGACUCCUACGGGAGGCAGCAGUAGGGAAUCUUCCGCAAUGGGCGAAAGCCUGACGGAGCAACGCCGCGUGAGUGAUGAAGGUCUUCGGAUCGUAAAACUCUGUUAUUAGGGAAGAACAAAUGUGUAAGUAACUAUGCACGUCUUGACGGUACCUAAUCAGAAAGCCACGGCUAACUACGUG
rnacentral:rRNA from 1 species